rnacentral:rRNA from 1 species
CCUACGGGAGGCAGCAGUGAGGAAUAUUGGUCAAUGGGCGGAAGCCUGAACCAGCCAAGCCGCGUGAGGGAUGAAGGUACAGAGUAUCGUAAACCUCUUUUGUCAGGGAACAAAGGCGGGGACGUGUCCCCGGAUGAGUGUACCUGAAGAAAAAGCAUCGGCUAACUCCGUGCCAGCAGCCGCGGUAAUACGGAGGAUGCGAGCGUUAUCCGGAUUUAUUGGGUUUAAAGGGUGCGCAGGCGGUCUGUUAAGUCAGCGGUCAAAGCCCGGGGCUCAACCCCGGCCCGCCGUUGAAACUGGCAGUCUCGAGUUGGAGAGAAGUAUGCGGAAUGCGCGGUGUAGCGGUGAAAUGCAUAGAUAUCGCGCAGAACUCCGAUUGCGAAGGCAGCAUGCCGGCUCCACACUGACGCUGAGGCACGAAAGCGUGGGUAUCGAACAGGAUUAGAUACCCUUGUAGUC